UACGGAGGGUGCGAGCGUUGUCCGGAAUCACUGGGCGUAAAGGGCGCGUAGGCGGCCCGGCAAGUCUGUGGUGAAAGCUCAGGCUCAACUCUGAGUCGGCCACGGAUACUGCGGGGCUCGAGCACGGUAGAGGCAGGUGGAAUUCCCGGUGUAGCGGUGGAAAUGCGUAGAGUAUCGGGAGGAACACCAGUGGCGAAGGCGAUCCAUGCUGGG
rnacentral:rRNA from 1 species